GAUUAACGCUAGCGGCAGGCCUAAUACAUGCAAGUCGAACGGGAUUCAAAGUAGCAAUAUUUUGAUGAGAGUGGCGCACGGGUGAGUAACACGUAUGCAAUUUACCUUUAACUGGGGGAUAGCCCUCCGAAAGGAGGAUUAAUACCGCAUAAUAUAUUGAAAUGGCAUCAUUUUAAUAUUAAACCUACGGGGGUUAAAGAUGAGCAUGCAUCCGAUUAGCUAGUUGGUGUGGUAACGGCUCACCAAGGCAACGAUCGGUAGGGGGUCUGAGAGGAUGAUCCCCCANACUGGUACUGAGACACGGACCAGACUCCUACGGGAGCAGCAGUAAGGAAUAUUGGACAAUGGAGGCAACUCUGAUCCAGCCAUGCCGCGUGAAGGAUUAAGGCCCUAUGGGUUGUAAACUUCUUUUAGACGGGACAAAACCCCUUUACGUGUAAAGGUUGAUGGUACUGUCAGAAUAAGCAUCGGCUAACUUCGUG
rnacentral:rRNA from 1 species